UACGUAGGGUGCGAGCGUUGUCCGGAAUUAUUGGGCGUAAAGAGCUCGUAGGCGGUCCGCCGCGCCGGUCGUGAAAUCUCGGGGCUCAACCCCGGGUCUGCGGUCGAUACGGGCGGACUUGAGUGCGGUAGGGGAGACCGGAAUUCCUGGUGUAGCGGUGGAAUGCGCAGAUAUCAGGAGGAACACCGAUGGCGAAGGCAGGUCUCUGGGCCGUUACUGACGCUGAGGAGCGAAAGCGUGGGGAGCGAACAGG
rnacentral:rRNA from 1 species